GUGCUCGCUUCGGUAGCACAUAUACUAAAAUUGGACAGAUACAGAGAAAUUUAUCAUGGCCCCUGCACAAGGAUGACAUGCAAAUUAGUGAAGCAUUCCAUAUUUUU
rnacentral:snRNA from 1 species